UUUAGUUAUGAGUCUUCCAGUAGAGGGCUGUUCGAGAGCAUGCGCACAACCGCAGCGAGAGAACCCUAUUCCUCCUGUCACAACAUUGAGGGGCAAAACGACAGCCGUGUUGGAGCGACCAAAAGAGGACGCAGCAAAAAUGAAGAACAAAGUGACCAGCACACAAGGUAAACUCUGGAAAUGCUGCUAAUAACAACAAUCAGAUCAUAACUGAAUACUAAAAUACUACUGGUUAUUGAUAUGAAUGCACCGAGUAUGUUUAAAGUGAUAGCAUAUGCCAGCCAUUAUCAUUUGAUAUGUACUGUAGAGUACUGAUGUAUAUUUACACACAGGGAUUCUCCAUUGAGUUUUUAGACUAUGAUGUGUGUCCUGGAAUCUGGCUUGUGCUAUCAUAAGUAGAGAUGUAACUCAGAGUGUGGUGUGGUAGCAGUGAUUGGUAAGAAGAAGGCCUGGUCGUGGGAUCAGUACCUGGGAGAGGAGAAGGCCAUAGCAGUUCCCCUCAGACUGUUCACUGAGGUAAGCAUCACCUUCAUCAACCAGUAGGUCUAUCUACUACUAAAGCUUGACACGAGAGCCCUAUACAUUAGGGCACACCGUAACAACGGAACAUUUUGCAGCAGAAAAUGAAAAUGUCCAGGUAGUUCCCCAUGUUUGUCUGUAUUCAGUCCGAGAUGUAAUUUACUCAACUAGAAUACAGGCCACCAAAGCUAUUAUUUGCAUUUAAAGGCCAUAAGCCAGCUGCUUGAUGUUAAACAUGGUCUGUUGAUUUAAAAGGAAGGAUGUUAAGGACCUACUGUACAGUAUAUAGUUUACGGGACUAUGUGUAACAGUAUAACUUUAGACCGUCCCCUCGCCCAUACCCGGGCGCGAACCAGGGACCCUCUGCACACAUCAACAACAGUCACCACGAAGCAUCGUUACCCAUCACUCCACAAAAGCCGCGGCCCAUGCAGAGCAAGGGAAACUACUACUUCAAGGUCUCAGAGCAAGUGACGUCACCAAUUGAAACGCUAUUUAGCGCGCACCACCGCUAACUAAGCUAGCUGUUUCACAUCCGUUACAUAUGCAAAGGUACACUAUAUACAAAAGUAUGUGGACACCCCUUCAAAAGAUGCAGAGCAGCCGCACAUAAGCCUAAGUUCAGCCAAGCAUCGGCUGGAGUGGUGUAAAGCUUGCCUCCAUUAGACUCCGAAGCAGAAGGAAACGUUUCACCAUCUGGCAGCUUGACAGAAAAAUCUGAGUUUGGUGGAUGCCAGGAGAACGCUACCUGCCCCAAUGCAUAGUGUCAACUGUAAAGUUUGGUGGAGGACAAAUUAUAGUCUGGGUCUGUUUGUCAUGGUUUUGGGCUAGGGAAAUCUA
rnacentral:lncRNA from 1 species